CCUACGGGAGGCAGCAGUGAGGAAUAUUGGUCAAUGGGCGUAAGCCUGAACCAGCCAAGUCGCGUGAGGGAUGAAGGUUCUCUGGAUCGUAAACCUCUUUUAUAAGGGAAUAAAGUGUGGGACGUGUCCUGUUUUUUAUGUACCUUAUGAAUAAGGAUCGGCUAACUCCGUGCCAGCAGCCGCGGUAAUACGGAGGAUUCGAGCGUUAUCCGGAUGUAUUGGGUUUAAAGGGUGCGUAGGCGGCCUUUUAAGUCAGCGGUGAAAGUCUGUGGCUCAACCAUAGAAUUGCCGUUGAAACUGGGAGGCUUGAGUAUGUUUGAGGCAGGCGGAAUGCGGGGUGUAGCGGUGAAAUGCUUAGAUAUCACGCAGAACCCCGAUUGCGAAGGCAGCCGGCCAAGCCAUGACUGACGCUGAUGCACGAAAGCGUGGGGAUCAAACAGGAUUAGAUACCCGAGUAGUC
rnacentral:rRNA from 1 species